GAUGAACGCUGGCGGCGUGCUUAAGGCAUGCAAGUCGAACGCAAUCGACCUUCGGGUCAUAUGAUUGAGUGGCGAACGGGUGAGUAACACGUGAGAAACCUACCUCCAAGUUCGGAAUAAGCCAAAGAAAUUUGGUCUAAUACCGGAUAUGCUCUUUUUGUCGAAUGGCAGAUUGAGGAAAGAUUUAUCGCUUUGAGAGGGUCUCGCGGACUAUCAGCUAGUUGGUAAGGUAACGGCUUACCAAGGCAAUGACGGUUAGCUAGUCUGAGAGGACGAAUAGCCACACUGGAACUGAGACACGGUCCAGACUUCUACGGAAGGCAGCAGCUAGGAAUAUUGCACAAUGGGCGAAAGCCUGAUGCAGCGACGCCGCGUGAGGGAUGAAGGCUCUAGGGUCGUAAACCUCUUUCAGUAGGGAAGAAAAUGACGGUACCUACACAAGAAGCCCCGGCCAACUAUG
rnacentral:rRNA from 1 species